UACGUAGGGUGCGAGCGUUAAUCGGAAUUACUGGGCGUAAAGCGUGCGUAGGCGGCUAUGUAAGACAGAUGUGAAAUCCCUGGGCUUAACCUAGGAACUGCAUUUGUGACUGCAUUGCUAGAGUGUGGUAGAGGGAGAUGGAAUUCCGCAUGUAGCAGUGAAAUGCGUAGAUAUGCGGAGGAACACCAAUGGCGAAGGCAAUCUCCUGGACCUGCACUGACGCUCAUGCACGAAAGCGUGGGGAGCAAACGGG
rnacentral:rRNA from 1 species